GAUGAACGCUAGCGGCAGGCCUAAUACAUGCAAGUCGAACGGUGUAGCAAUACACAGUGGCGCACGGGUGCGUAACACGUAUGCAACCUACCUAUCAUUGGGGGAUAGCCUUUGGAAACGGAGAUUAAUACCGCAUAAGACAGUAACAUGGCAUCAUGUAGAUGUUAAAGCUUUGGCGAUGAUAGAUGGGCAUGCGUACAAUUAGUUAGUUGGUGAGGUAAUGGCUCACCAAGACGACGAUUGGUAGGGGAUCUGAGAGGACAAUCCCCCACACUGGCACUGGGAUACGGGCCAGACUCCAGCGGGAGGCAGCAGUAGGGUAUAUUGGGCAAUGGACGGAAGUCUGACCCAGCCAUGCCGCGGGCAGGAUGAAGGCGUUAUGCGUUGUAAACUGCUUUUUUAUAGGAAGAAGAAGCCCUUGCGAGGGAAAGUGACGGUACUAUAAGAAUAAGCACCGGCUAACUCCGUGCCAGCAGCCGCCGUAAUAC
rnacentral:rRNA from 1 species